ACAGAGCUAAAAAAAAAAGGACCACGGGGAUGAAACCUCUUCUUCUCCUUCUUUAACAAAAACCUAGCUGAACCUGGGUACAUUCAGUCGCCGCCCGACUAGAAGCCAAGCACCACGACCUCACUUGACAAAAACCAGAAGCCACCCAUCUCCUUCACCUUCUGCCACCUCUAUCUUCAACCCAAAAAACUCGCCGGAAAACGCCCCUUCAACACCAGCCUCGUCAACCUUCACGUGAACCAGCCGCCUCUCCCUCCUCACAUCCAAGCCACAACCAUCGUCAAACCUCCAAUCAGCCUGUCACGUCGUCGACCAGCGACGCGUCCAAUCGACCACCGCCUCCCCGUCGUCGUCAAAUGGACAGUCAUCUUCCUUCACCUCCCAGCUCACCAUCGAUCCUCCAGCCCCACUUCACGCCCGAACUAGUCGUCAAAUAACCAGAACAAACCAGCGGCAUCAAUUGGAACACCCACGAGCCACCAUCGCAAAUAAACACCGGAAAACAUUCACUCACGACCACCCCGUCUCUUUUCUCCCUCAUAUCCAUCGUUUAAGCUCAGCCACACACACAUGAGAGGGGAGAAAUAGUGACGUGAACACACUUAUGAAUAUCAUAAAACAAAAUAGAAAUUUAAAAAAAAAUGUUCUGCUUAUUAACUUUUCAAUUCCUGAAUUUGUUCAAAGAUGAAUUUUGAAUAAAACUUGGGUUUGAUCCGUGUUUGGUUGAGUUUUUCCAGUGUCGAUUGAUGAUCGGGUGUGAUUUGACGAAAAUGGUUUGUUGAGGUGUUGGAGUUCGAGUCCCAGUGCCGAUUUGAAUUUCCGUCCGCGAUUCGUCAUAUUCUCAAAUUCAAGGUUGUGGCACAAUUAAAUUUCAGAUUUAACGAGGUCCAUCUCUCCCUUGUUUUGCUGAUUUGCUUAAUAUCACAUUUUCCUUACUUCGUUGAUAGUCACUUAUCUGCCUUGUUGAUCGUUUGAGUUUUUGCUCUAUUGUUUUUUUCGGAUUGUCUCACUAAUGCUUGCUUACUCUGUUCUGUUCUGUUGAUCAUCAUUUUGGUUGUGCCCUUGUUUAAUCUGUUUGGAUGGAAUUCUGAUUGUUUGAGUUAUGGGAAUUAGAUUUUAAAACAUGGAGGGAAUUGGGAUUGAAUAAUUUUAUUUCUAUCUUAUUCUUACUCUAAUAAAUUUGAUCGAUAGUAGCAUGCGUAGGCCGACUUCACCUAGGUAGGCAAACUUUAGAAUUUUUGUUAAUUUGAGGCGAGAGGUCGUUCCCGUAGUUAAAUUUAUCCGGAAAAUGUCCCAUGAAGUUUGUAUAUAUUAUUAUUUGGGGUAUGCCCGAAGUGAAUGUAAAUGAAGGCCAAAGACGAAGUAACUCGAGGAAGCAUAGAAUAGUACUUUAUUUUUCUUUUGUUUUUCCUUUAUUAGGUGGGACGACCUUGAGCCUCUUUGAUUUUCUUAGUUUCGUGUUUUCGCCUCAAUUUGAAUAUUUUAAAAGCCAACAAGAUCAAGUACACAACCGUGACCUUCACGGAAUUUGGGGAGUACCUAACACCUUCUCCUCGAGUCAAAUGAACCCCCUUACCCUAAUCUCUAGUGUAGACUUAGUUUCAGAGUUCAAAAUGUUCUAAAAGG
rnacentral:lncRNA from 1 species